AAACGACUCUCGGCAACGGAUAUCCCGGCUCUCGCAUCGAUGAAGAACGUAGCGAAAUGCGAUACUUGGUGUGAAUUGCAGAAUCCCGUGAGCCAUCGAGUUUUUGAACGCAAGUUGCGCCCGAUGCCAUUAGGCUGAGGGCACGUCUGCCUGGGUGUCACGU
rnacentral:rRNA from 1 species